GACGAACGCUGGCGGCGUGGAUUAGGCAUGCAAGUCGAACGGUAUCAUCCUUUCGGGGGUGAGAGAGUGGCGAACUGGUGAGUAACACGUAGGUUAUCUACCCUCAAGACGGGGACAACCCAGGGAAACUUGGGCUAAUACCGGAUGUGAGCAACUUUUAGUUGUUUGAAAGGUGGCGUAAGCUGUCGCUUGGGGAUGAGCCUGCGUCCUAUUAGUUAGUUGGUGAGGUAACGGCUCACCUAGGCAAUGAUAGGUAGGCGGCCUUAACGGGUGGUCGCCCACACUGGGAUUGAGAUACGGCCCAGACUCCUACGGGAGGCAGCAGUCGAGAAUAGUCUACAAUGGUCGGAAGACUGAUAGUGCGACGCCGCGUGAACGAUGAAUCCCUUCGGGGUGUAAAGUUCUUUUAUAUGUGAGCAGUGCUUCUUAUAUUAACAGUAUGGGGAGAGAGAUAUUAGCAUAUGAAUAAGCAACGGCUAACUCCGUGCCAGCCAGCCGCGGUAAACUCGU
rnacentral:rRNA from 1 species